GACCACUACUGGUGUCCUAAGUGGUUAGAGCAUCUGCCUUGGAUGUGGAAGGUCAUGGGUUCUAAUCCUAGCUAAGUCA